GCGGUUUUUGAGGAUGUUUUUUGUCCGCUUCUAUAUGCCCUCCCAGCAUACCCUUCGGUUGUGGGAGAGGAAACAAAAACUAGUC
rnacentral:telomerase_RNA from 1 species